CUUGAAACAAAAAAAAAAAAAGCCCCCACCGACGGCACCCCUUUUCUUUUUUCCCCAGCGGUUAGGCCGGGGACUCAAAGGAGACUGCCGGUGAUAAACUGGAGGAAGGUGGGGAUGACGUCAAGUCAUCAUGGCCCUUACGAGUAGGGCUACACACCUGCUACAAUGGCAUAUACAGAGAGAAGAGACCUCGCGAGAGCACCCGGACCUCACAAAGUAGGUCGUAGUCCGGAUCGGAGUCCGCAACUCGACUCCGUGAAGUCGGAAUCGCUAGAAAUCGUAGAUCAGAAUGCUCCGGUGAAUACGUUCCCGGGCCUUUUUCGAGCCGCCCUCACCCAUGGGAAGGGUGCAAGAGCCCUUUUUAGUCUCACCUUCGGGAGGCGCCACCACUGUUGAUUCAUGACGGGGGAAAUCGUAACCAAGGACCCCCGU
rnacentral:rRNA from 1 species